rnacentral:rRNA from 1 species
GGGGAUAUUGCACAAUGGGGGGAACCCUGAUGCAGCGACGCCGCGUGGGUGAAGGAGCGUUUCGGCGCGUAAAGCCCUAUCGGCAGGGAAGAAGGAGGACGGUACCUGACUAAGAAGCCCCGGCUAACUACGUGCCAGCAGCCGCGGUAAUACGUAGGGGGCAAGCGUUAUCCGGAUUUACUGGGUGUAAAGGGAGCGUAGACGGCGGGGCAAGUCUGGAGUGAAAGGCCGGGGCCCAACCCCGGGACCGCUCUGGAAACUGCCCGGCUGGAGUGCGGGAGAGGUAAGCGGAAUUCCUAGUGUAGCGGUGAAAUGCGUAGAUAUUAGGAGGAACACCAGCGGCGAAGGCGGCUUACUGGACCGUGACUGACGUUGAGGCUCGAAAGCGUGGGGAGCAAACAG